UGCCCUAUGGUGUAGGGUAGCACGUCAGCCUUUGGAGCUGUAAGCCCUGGUUCGAACCCAGGUAGGGCAGCCA
rnacentral:tRNA from 1 species